UAGGGAAUCUUCGGCAAUGGACGAAAGUCUGACCGAGCAACGCCGCGUGAGUGAAGAAGGUUUUCGGAUCGUAAAACUCUGUUGUUAGAGAAGAACAAGGACGUUAGUAACUGAACGUCCCCUGACGGUAUCUAACCAGAAAGCCACGGCUAACUACGUGCCAGCAGCCGCGGUAAUACGUAGGUGGCAAGCGUUGUCCGGAUUUAUUGGGCGUAAAGCGAGCGCAGGCGGUUUCUUAAGUCUGAUGUGAAAGCCCCCGGCUCAACCGGGGAGGGUCAUUGGAAACUGGGAGACUUGAGUGCAGAAGAGGAGAGUGGAAUUCCAUGUGUAGCGGUGAAAUGCGUAGAUAUAUGGAGGAACACCAGUGGCGAAGGCGGCUCUCUGGUCUGUAACUGACGCAGAGGCUCGAAAGCGUGGGGAGCAAACAGG
rnacentral:rRNA from 2 species